rnacentral:rRNA from 1 species
CAGGGGACGUGGAUAACCUCGGGAAACUGAGGAUAAACCGCGAUAGGUCAUAGUAUCUGGAAUGAUUUAUGGCUCAAAUCUACAUGGCCUCUGGAUUGGACUGCGGCCGAUCAGGCUGUUGGUGAGGUAAUGGCCCACCAAACCUAAAACCGGUACGGGCUCUGAGAGGAGAAGCCCGGAGAUGGGCACUGAGACAAGGGCCCAGGCCCUAUGGGGCGCAGCAGGCGCGAAAACUCUGCAAUAAGCGAAAGCUUGACAGGGUUAUUCUGAGUGAUUUCCGCUAAGGAAAUCUUUUGGCACCUCUAAAAAUGGUGCAGAAUAAGGGGUGGGCAAGCCUGGUGUCAGCCGCCGCGGUAAUACCAGCACCCCGAGUGGUCGGGACGAUUAUUGGGCCUAAAGCAUCCGUAGCCGGUUCUACAAGUCUUCCGUUAAAUCCACCUGCUCAACAGAUGGGCUGCGGAGGAUACUAUAGAGCUAGGAGGCGGGAGAGGCAAGCGGUACUUAGUGGGUAGGGGUAAAAUCCGUUGAUCCAUUGAAGACCACCAGUGGCGAAGGCGGCUUGCCAGAACGCACUCGACGGUGAGGGAUGAAAGCUGGGGGAGCAAACCGGAUUAGAUACCCGGGUAGUCCCAGCUGUAAACGAUGCAGACUCGGUGAUGAAUAGGCUUCGUGCCUAUUCAGUGCCGCAGGGAAGCCGUUAAGUCUGCCGCCUGGGGAGUACGGUCGCAAGACUGA